CUGAUGGUGCCUCCAAAUCUGCAGCUUCCAAGUCCUCUUCUUCCAAGAAGGCUGCACCAAAGGAAUCCAGGAAGAAGGGAAAAGGUGGCAAAUCAGGGAAGAACUGAUCACAGAACCUUGCACACGAUGUGUGAAAGCAGCAGUUAAAUUGAAGACAAUUAGUUGUUUUAUGCACUUAUUUUAAGGUUUUUUUUUUUGAACUCGAAAAAUGUGUGACCAUAUGCAAAUGUAAGUCAGCUUCCUGGACUUGCUCUAUUGAAAUAAAAUAUUGCAUUUGAAACUCAUGGUUCUGAGCACGCAGGGACCGUCAUGCUAAUACACACACACACAUAUUCUUAUUAUAGCAUAUGGAUUCUAUGCAAUAAUUUUUCUUUCAUUGUUCAUUAUCAUUAUUAUCAUUGUUGUUUCUUGUGAAUAUAAAUCCAUAAAAUGUUUUCAAACAAUUAUUUAUUUCUUAUUGGUUACAAAUGAUGAUCACAGCUAUUGCAAUUCGAAUUUUUCAGCUGCACUAAUCAAGCACUGAUAACUUCAAUUUGCAAGAUCUUGAAAUCUUUUUCCUUGUUUGGCCAUUAUCAUAACUUUAAUUUACACUGUACUAGUUAGAUAUUUAGAUUAGAAUCCUAUCAUUCUGCAGAAAUCUAAUUUUAAAGUUUUUCCCUUGUUGUUAAGUAAAAUAAAAUGUAGAGGGAAAAAAAAACAAUGCCUAUUGCAUUCCCUUUGCAUUUACUCUGUUGCCAACAAUUAAUGAAAAUAUUACUUAAUUAGACUUGAAUCUCAACUUGUCAACCAAUUAUUUCUCGGACAUAUUGAAAACUUCUAAAGGACAUGGAAGCUGGGAAUGAAUAUUUUUCAUUUAGGAAGACAUAUAUUUAUAAUUUUUUGAUAAAUGAGAAAUUUUAUUAUAAUUAGGGAAAGAAUCAAUAGAAAACCAUAAGAUCAAACCCAACCCAAUUAUAGAAAUCCAAGCAAAUGAUCAAAGGGGUGGUAUUGAAAAAUUAAAUUGCUACAAGGGAGUGGGAUAUAAACUAUUUACCAAAAGGGGUGAAAAUUGAUGACUUUGCAGAGAAAAAAAGAGAGAGAGACUCAACUAUAACUAACGACUAGGGGGAUAAAAUGAAAUUAAAUUAAUUUAUGUGAAUUGAAAUAGAAAAACAAUAUAAUUCAAAACAUAGGACGCUGCCCAGGGUAACGACCCCAUUACCUCUCUGAAUAUAUUCUCGUCUAACGUGAAAUUAUAUUAAAAACAAAAAAAAAUACACCCAGCAACAAGAUGCUACCAUAGGUUGCAACCAAGACAUCACAUCUUAUCGAUUCCACUUUAUCAUCUGGUAUGAAGUUAAUAAAGUGAAAAUUAAAAAAAAAAUAAAAAAAGCUACCCUGAAGCUUGGCACUACUAUAGGUAGCGACUAAAGAUGCGUGUGAUGGUCUUGUCUGGUGUGAAAAUUCAC
rnacentral:misc_RNA from 1 species